UUGAUUAAUUCUAAUUCUAUUUU
rnacentral:snRNA from 1 species